rnacentral:rRNA from 1 species
AACGUAGGAGACGAACGUUAUCCGGAGUUACUGGGCGUAAAGGGCGUGUAGGCGGUUUGUUAAGUCUGGCGUGAAAGCUCUCGGCUAAACCGGGAGAGGUCGUUGGAUACUGGCAAACUAGAGGAUGGUAGAGGCGUGUGGAAUUCCGGGUGUAGUGGUGAAAUGCGUAGAGAUCCGGAGGAACACCAGUGGCGAAGGCGACACGCUGGGCCAUACCUGACGCUAAAGCGCGACAGCAUGGGGAGCAAACGGGG